AGGACACGCAGAAACAGCACCCUCCUGGAGAAAGGGCCCCACUCAGCCUGCCCUGGCCUUGCUGGAGGUGGGGCUUUUCGGGAAAAGAACGAGGAGGCUGAAGACAGGAAAGCCAGCGGGUGGGGAGGCUGGGACCCUGGGGGAGGGGUGGGAACAUUGUGAAGGCCACACCCCAAGCCCUGGGGCCCUGUAUUGGGUCUUUGUUGCAUUGCUAUAAAGAAAUACCUGAGACUGGGUGAUUUAUAAAGGAGAGAAAUUCGACUGGCUCAUGGUUCUGCAGGCCGUACAGGAAGCCUGGUGCUGGCAGAUCUGCUUCUAGGGAGUUCUCAGGAAGCUUCUGGUCAUGGUGGAAGGCAAUGCGGAGCCAGCGAGUCACAUGAUGAGACCCCGAGCAAGAAAGAGAGGCCGGGAGGUGCCACACUCUACAACAACCAGAACGUGCCUGUGUAAUCAGAACCCAGAAAAGGGAAAAGAGCAUUCUUCACCACACAGAAGUCCUGGUGACAGUCUUUCUAGUUAUCGGCCCACUGCAAGGCAACCUGGAGCUGUGCGGACUGAGACUGAGAUGCAUCGCUGAAACUCUCUUUAGGUGUUCCCUACCAUUUCUUCUUGGAAAAGAAGGUUUUACCUCCUGGGAUUUUUGAGAACCUCUAACUUCUCCAUUGGGGACCAUCUCCAGGUACCACCAAAAAAGAGCACAACAGCAGCCUUGCGGAUAAGUCCUGGUCUGGAGUCAGCCACCGCUGCACACACCACUCAGAGCUGCAUCAUCGGGUUACCCCUGGAAAGGCUGCCCACACACCCACAUCCAGGGGUGUCUCGUCACUGCUGACGACUAGCACGGUGAAUGUUCUGCUUCGUGGAGAGACUAUCAGAGCUGGAAUAUCCAUAGGCUUAUAAUCUUCAUGAAUACUUCCUCUCUCAAUUGCCGUGAAAUAAUAUGGCUCCUCAGUCCAUGAAGCUGGCAUCAAUAACUGAAAUAGGCUCGGAAAAGUCCGGGCAAGAGGAACCUGAAAGCUCAGCAUGAGAUGAAGUGGCUGGAGGCACGUGAGUCCUGCACUGAUAGAGGCCGGUUCUGUCAAGCCUCACCUGGAUGAUGUGUGUGACUCUUCCCAUAGAAAGGAGCAGGCUCUCUCAUGAAGCCUCCAUUCUAGCAUUUUGUGAUCAUCUAUGACCUUAGAGGGGUCCUCUAUAACCCUGAGUCCCAAACAGGUGAAUACAGAGUGGGCUCACACUUAUUUCUCCAUUAUUCCUGUGUUCUUUCAGGAGGCUGACCAUCAAACCUACUUAGAAGUCAGACCUUGAAUGUAAGUACAUGUUGUUCAUUAUCUAUAUCUUUUGCAUGACAGAAUGUCAGUUAUAGGAUAAAUAACAGAGGGUAGGCUGUGUACCAAGUCAUGGUGACAACAAUACAAAGCAAGGCUGGGCGCGGUGGCUCAUGCCUGUAAUCCCAGCACUUUGGGAGGCUGAGGAGGGUGGUUCACGAGGUCAGGAGUUCGAGACCAGCCUGGCCAACAUGGCGGAACCCCAUGUCUACUAAAAAUAGAAAAAUUAGCCAGGCGUGGGUCACAUGACUGUAGUCCCAGCUACUCAGGAGGCUGAGGCAGGGGAAUUGCUUGAACUUGGGAGGCUAAGAUUGCAGUGAGCCGAGAUUGCACCACUGCACUCC
rnacentral:lncRNA from 10 species